AUUGAACGCUGGCGGCAGGCCUAACACAUGCAAGUCGAGCGGGGUUUUCGGACCUAGCGGCGGACGGGUGAGUAAUGCGUAGGAAGCUGCCCGAUAGAGGGGGAUACCAGUUGGAAACGACUGUUAAUACCGCAUAAUGUCUACGGACCAAAGCGUGGGACAUUCGGGCCACAUGCUAUCGGAUGCGCCUACGUGGGAUUAGCUGGUUGGUGAGGUAAUGGCUCACCAAGGCGACGAUCUCUAGCUGGUGUGAGAGGAUGAUCAGCCACACUGGAACUGAGACACGGUCCAGACGCCUACGGGAGGGAGCAGUGGGGAAUAAUGGACAAUGGGCGCAAGCCUGAUCGAGCCAGGCCGCGUGUGUGAAGAAGGCCUUCGGGUUGUAAAGCACUUUCAGCGAGGAGGAAGGGUGGUGUGUUAAUAGCACAUCAUUUUGACGUUACUCGCAGAAGAAGCACCGGCUAACUCUGUGCCAGCAGCCGCUGUAAAAC
rnacentral:rRNA from 1 species